AUUGAACGCUGGCGGCAUGCCUUACACAUGCAAGUCGAACGGUAACGCGGGGCAACCUGGCGACGAGUGGCGAACGGGUGAGUAAUGCAUCGGAACGUGCCUGGUAGUGGGGGAUAACUGCUCGAAAGAGCAGCUAAUACCGCAUACGACCUGAGGGUGAAAGGGGGGGAUCGCAAGACCUCUCGCUAUCAGAGCGGCCGAUGUCGGAUUAGCUAGUUGGUGGGGUAAAAGCCCACCAAGGCGACGAUCCGUAGCUGGUCUGAGAGGACGACCAGCCACACUGGGACUGAGACACGGCCCAGACUCCUACGGGAGGCAGCAGUGGGGAACUUUGGACAAUGGACGCAAGUCUGAUCCGGCCAUGCCGCGUGCGGGAAGAAGGCCUUCGGGUUGUAAACCGCUUUUGUCAGGGAAGAAACGCUCCGGGUUAAUACCUCGGGGUAAUGACGGUACCUGAAGAAUAAGCACCGGCUAACUACGUGCCAGCAGCCGCGGUAACAC
rnacentral:rRNA from 1 species